rnacentral:lncRNA from 1 species
UGGAGUAGGCAGUCAUCAUAGUUAAAUAAAAUACUUAAUUAAUUAAAUAAAUUAAUACAUAAUUUAUUAAUUAAAUAUAUAAUUAAAAUUAAUUAAUAUAUUAAAAUAAAAAGACUUUUAGCGAUAGUAAUAGCACCGUCGCUGUCGCUAAUAUUCACAAUGUGAUAGCAUGGGUUUGGCGGCUUGGUGAUCCGACAAUUGGGUGCUUCAAAGG